UCAGUUUCACGGAAAAACAAGCACUUGGGGAGAAAAAUGGAGUGAAGCCAAGGAGAGCCAAGUGGAGAUCGUAGAGCUUUGUUCGUCUGAAUUAAGUGAUCGAGAAUAAGUAGCUGUUGAUUGCUGUCGUGAGUGGCUACCUCUCACUGUGUCUUUAGGUGCUCUGAUACGUAACGGGAUGUGAACUUUUGUGGCUAUUUUCUAUUCCUUACGUAUUGCUUAUGAUUUUACAUGACUAUAAUUUAGUUUGGAUUUUAUGAGAUGUUAUGAUGAGGCCUUCGUACCAAAGACUAUUUUAGUUGUUGAAUUUAAUCCGCUGCGAAAUAUUGAUUAUUAUGUUGAUUAUAUUUUGAAGGAUAAUUAGUUAAUUAUUCCAUUUAUGAUUUUUAAGAAGUGUAGCAUUCCGUUUAUGUGAAAAACUCUGAUUAUUUGUUAUGAAAUUUUUAAGUUGGGAAAAACAGGGUGUUACACAUAUCAUUGCCUAAACUAUGACUGCGUUAUUGUGAUUGAUGUGGAAUGACUUGUGGAAUUAUCUUGUUGAUUGCCUU
rnacentral:lncRNA from 1 species